UGGCUAUAUCACAUUGAAACACUUAUUCUCAUCCAAUCACUGAAGUUAAGCAAUGUCCAGCCUGGUCAGUGCCUAGAUGGGUGAUCACUUGGGAUUACCAGGUGCUGUAUG